rnacentral:rRNA from 1 species
UGCAGUCGAACGCGAAAGUUUCCUUCGGGAGACAAGUAGAGUGGCGCACGGGCUGAGUAACACGUAGGUAAUCUACCUUUGGAUGGGGAAUAACAGUCGGAAACGGCUGCUAAUACCGCAUAAUGCAGCGGCACCUAAUGGUGACAGUUGUUAAAGCGGGGGAUCGAAAGACCUCGCGUCUGAAGAGGAGCCUGCGGCGGAUUAGCUAGUUGGUAAGGUAAUGGCUUACCAAGGCUACGAUCCGUAACCGGCCUGAGAGGGCGGUCGGUCACACUGACACUGACAUACGGGUCAGACUCCUACGGGAGGCAGCAGUCGGGAAUUUUGGGCAAUGGGCGAAAGCCUGACCCAGCAACGCCGCGUGAAGGAUGAAAUCCCUCGGGAUGUAAACUUCGCAAGAAUGAGAAGAAUAAGUAGGGGACAAUACCCCCUAUGAUGACGGUAUCAUUUGUAAGCUCCGGCUAACUCCGUGCCAGCAGCCGCGGUAAUACGGGGGGAGCAAGCGUUGUUCGGAUUUACUGGGCGUAAAGGGCGCGUAGGCGGCCAGCACAAGUCAGUUGUGAAAUCUCCGAGCUUAACUCGGAAAGGUCAACUGAUACUGUGCGGCUAGAGUGCGGAAGGGGCAACUGGAAUUCUUGGUGUAGCGGUGAAAUGCGUAGAUAUCAAGAGGAACACCUGCGGCGAAGGCGGGUUGCUGGGCCGACACUGACGCUGAGGCGCGAAAGCCAGGGGAGCGAACGGGAUUAGAUACCCCGGUAGUCCUGGCCUUAAACGAUGAAUGCUUGGUGUCUGGGGUUAUAAAGUCCCCGGGUGCCGUCGCUAACGCUUUAAGCAUUCCGCCUGG